AGUGCGAUGACUACAGGAAACAACACCAUCAGUGUAUCGAGGCCAGUGGAAGUCAACUGGCUCUGCUAUACGCAGCACU
rnacentral:sRNA from 1 species